rnacentral:rRNA from 1 species
GACUAAGCGUACACGGUGGAUGCCUUGGCAGUCAGAGGCGAUGAAGGACGUAUUAACUUGCGAUAAGCCCAGAUUAGGCAGUAAAAGCCACUUGAGUCUGGGAUUUCCGAAUGGGGAAACCCACUUACAUAAGUAAGUAUCCUGUUGUGAAUACAUAGCAACAGGAGGCGAACCGGGGGAACUGAAACAUCUAAGUACCCCGAGGAA